UGUGGGGUGAAUUGAGAAGAAAACUGUGGAAGGUGCCCGGAUGAAGAUGGAACGUCAGGGGCAACUGGAUCCUGAGACCCAAAUGCCCUCAGGAUGCUCUCUGGCCACCAUCGCUGCCUGCUGGUGGCUUACUUCCUUAUGUCAGCUAGUCCGUGCCCACACAGCCUGGAGACAUGCUCCUCUCGCUGGCUGCUUGUGAAAGGGAAGCCCCAACACAGUCACUGGACGUACCCUGCUGUCACUUGUCCAUUGGACAGAAACUACUCAGUGCCAGCCCAGUGGGCGCCCCACAAGGCCCCUUCUAACCAUGCCCACCCUGCCCCAGGGGUACCCUCAGAGCCCAAGCUCGGCUUUUCUGAGCCCCUGGUUUCCUCCCCAUCAUACCCUCCUGCCCCUCCACUCAGGCCCAAGGCAAGACUGAGACAUUCUUUCGGUGGCCUCCUGGGGCAGACACUGGGAAAUGUAGGAUCCACACCCCUCCUCCACCACCAGCAGAGCAUCCGGUGGUGAGAGUCACUGCACUGGCCUCAAAACUACCCAGGGCAAAUGCUAACGCCCCAGGGAAAAGGAGCAGGAAUGGCAAGGUCCAAAUUCCCAUCCUCAGCUCUUGGGAAUUCAUGGGAUUUCAGGGGAACUGGAGCUAUACCGCGGCGUUGGGCAAUAACGGGGAAGCUUCCAAACACACAUCAAUUCCAGUGCCGCAGACGUUUGCAGGGGUUAGAGGGGAACGAAGGCAGAAGGGCCAGGGCCAGGUACCCCGCCAGACAGGACCCGCAGGGCCCACCCGCAGGGGGCGCAGGAGGCUUUGGGGAUGCCUGGUAGGCGGUGCCUGCAGCCCGCCCGGUGGACCGAGCUCCUGGAGGAGAGAGGAGGGAGGCCAGCCGGGAGGGGACCGCACCUGGGCGUGGAGCCUGUGACUCGCUGUGGCUCACGUCCCGGUGGAUCCCGAUGACCCUUCCUAAUGUGCACGCGGUGGGAUUUUCAGAAGGCGAGGGAGGCGCGGGACGCGGUUCUGCAUUUCGGAGAUAAGUCCGGGUGCUUCCAGGGGCCUGUGCACACCGCCCUGCUCUGGGCUCCUCUCUGGCCGGCGAGGUCUGUCGCGACGCCGGGCAGGUGCAGGGCGGCGACAAGAGGGGGCUGCGCAGUCCCCGCCUGGGGCCACCGACGCAGCGCGUCCCCCUGGGCACAAAGCCGUGGCACUCUGGGGGGACAGGGCGACUAUCACUCCGGUCCCCUCUCGGGGAACCCCAGUCUCUCGCAGCCCUUAGAAGUUGUGACAUGGCACAGCAAGCAGCGCCACCAAGGCCGGGAGCUUGGAAAUGCCGAGUCCGCCUCCAUCAGCGCCGGCAGCCGGGUGGGUGGGUCCCGCACGGUCUUCAGCCGAUUUGGGGCGCCUGGGACACCUGUGUAGGAUCACGAAGUGGAGUGGGAGCGACAACUCGCCCACGGUUACACUCCCUGACGUCCGUCACGGAUUUAUUGACACCUGCUGUUUGCCUGGCUCUGCUUUGGGCAAACCUCUGCCCUGAGAUGAUGCCCUGAGAUGAUGCUCAGCAUGCCCUGUCAUGGGUAGGACGCAGUUAAACACUACGAUGCAAAAUAGGAGUCACAGCAUUUUGGAUACAAUAGAAGGACAGAGAGUUGGAAUCACCUCAACCUUCAAACCAGACAGUCCUUGUAUAUUUACAAGGCCAACUUCUCCAACGUCCAGGCAAAGCCACUGUUUCUCUGUGCCCAACCUGACCUGAGACCCACUUACCUCAGUCAUCUGCUCAGAUGGGGCAGAGUAGUGGUGGGGGGUGGACACCUAACCCCAGGUCCCCUGCAGGGGAGCUCUUUAGGUCCCUUGAAUCCCAAGCAGCUGCUUAACCUAAAAUACUGCAUUUAAAAAAGGCUAUCUAUAUAUUCUUUCUAUCUACCUAUAUUUGGUACUGGGGAUUGAGCCCAAAGGCACUUAACCACUGAGCCACAUCCCUGGCCCUUUUUAUUUUUUAUUUUGAGACAGUUCCUCACUAAGUUGCUUAGGGCUUCACUGAGUUCCUGAGGCUGGCCUUGAACUUGAGAUCCUCCUGCCUCAGCCUCCAGAGCAGCUGGGAUUACAGGUGUGCAUCACCAUGCUUGGCUAAAAAAUACUAUUUAUUAACCCCCAAAAUAAACAUCUGCUCAUUCAGGGUGUGGAGUCUGUUCCUGGGCCCCUCUGGAACACAGGUGGGGUUUUUAUGACUCCAGGGGAAGGAGGCCUGAACUGCCAAGGCACAGUGACUGUCAGGGUCUCAAAGUCCAUGUGAAAGCAGCUCUGCCCACAGAGUGACACCGAAAGUGUCCCCCACCCCCAUCCUUGGGUUUCAUGACUGCAGAUGGAAAAUCCUCAGAAAGAAAUUGCAACUGCAGUGAACAUGUAGAUUUUUCUCAUCAUUAUUCCCUAAGUGACGUAGUAGAACAACCAUUUUCAUAGCACGUGCAUCCUAUUAGGUAUCCUAGGUAAUCUGGAUAUGAGUUCAAGGGCACAGGAGGAUGUGCAUGUGUUCUGAGGAAAUGCUAUGCUGCUUUAUGCAAGGGACUUGAGCAUCCUUGGAGUUUGGAUUCAGAGAAGGUUCUGGAACCUAUCCCCCGUGGAUACUGAGAAAAAAACUGUACAGAUGACUCCAAAGUCAUGUAGGUGCUGUUGUGAUGAAGAAACUGCAAAUUUAUUCUGCAGCACGUGGAGUGACAGAUUGCAAAAUGAAUUAUUCAAAGGCCAGAGAUGAAGAUGGGCCUACACUUUAUCGCUGGAGCCCUGAGACUGCACGGUCAUUUCUGAAGAUUCAUGGGGUCCUGCUCAGGGAAUCCAUAAGUCUACCCUUGGCCUUGACAUUGGGAGGGAACACCCUGGCUCCAGAAACCCGAGCACUGCCAUCCUGGUUCUCAAGGACAGGCGGUUGCUGCAGCCCAGUGAAUACCACCUCAUGGGGCAGAGGGCUCAGGAGCAGACAGGCUGGCACAGACUUGAGCCCAAGGUACCUGGAAGGUGGGGCUGGCUGCACAGCCUGGGAGGGAGCAGGGAGGGUGCGGGGGCUUCAGACUCCCUGACUGCCCACUCAGCACCAUUUUCUUCCUUUUCUACGUUUUGUUUGGGAAGCUACUCCUCCCCAACUAGACUCAGGAGAAGAUGGCUUUGUCUUCGGCUCCAGUGAUUAGAUCCCAGUAGGUCCAAGCUGGUGGUUCUCAACCCUGGCUUCCCAUUACAAUCAUCUGGGGGCCUUUGAAAACAUCCAGGUGUCUGGAAUCCUAUCCCUGAGGCUUAGAGCAUCAUGUCACGCCUUGAUAUCACCUGGGAUACAGGUGGUGACCCAAGGCAACAUCAGAAUCCCUGGGAGAACCAUGGUCAAAGCCAGAUCAGUGGGCCUGGGGGGUCAGCUUUCCCCCCGAAACUGCCCUUUCUAAUAGCGAGGAGGGGUGUGGGGUGUGUAAAGAAAGUUCCUCCUAGGCCAUGAGCAGAGUGAGGGGUUAGAAGAGCAGGACUGGGUCGUGACAGGCCAGCAGAGCUCGGCUCAGUCAUGGAGACUCUGAGCCCACACAGCCCCGAGUCAGCCUGUCUUCUCCACUGGGCACCACAAGAAUCCCCAUCUAAGUUUUCAAUAUGGCUACUACUUCUUCUCCUUCCCAGGGAAGAGAGCCUGGGGGUGCUGCCCGUCCUGUGGACGGAGAAACUGAGGCUCAGAGCAUUCUAGCAAUCUGCUCAGAGGGAGUGGCUGGAACAUUUGCUCUGGGUUUGAGCGCAGUCACCUGGGAACAGCACCCAGGAAGCAUCUUUCUGCCCCUCACUUAGCGUGAAAGUGGUGCCUCUCGAUUUUGAACUUCAGGAGUUGGCUGACCCAGGACCCCCUCCCCAGAGCAUUAUCAAGGAGAGCAGAUGCUGGGCUGGAAGCGCCCCUUCUGCCCUUCCCCUGUGGCUGGGAGGAAGAACAGGACAGUGAAUUCUGCUGCUUCUCCUCUCUCCACCCUUCCUCCUGCAGUGGCCU